UAGUAGGUCUAAGCAACAUGCACCUGGAUAAUCGGGUCAUGAAUCUGGACGGGCUCCUACGUCCUCAUAUACACAUUAUGACAUAAUACAGAGUUCAAUGUUUAACGAAAUAAAGACAUAGAAGCAUAAUCAAUUAAACAGGUUCUACACAUUCCAUUUCUCCAUGGCAAUAGAAUGUAAACAUUCUAUUUUGCGCCAAACAUCGCCUACAACUCAAUUCUAAGUGCAGCAUAUUGGAGGACUCUGUGUUUUAUUUGAAGGGUGUGGAAGGAAACACUGGAGGAGGGAAACGACCUCGCUCGGCUGGUAAGAGAAUGAGAGUUAGAGACAUGCUACAAGUUAGUGAGCUCUUUACCAGCCUUUCAACAACGAGUUAGCACAGCAGGAUAGAUCUGUUGUGAAAUUACACUAAUGGGACUUCCUGUUUCAUACUGCAGGCCUGGGAAGUAAACACUUGCCUAAAAAUGAUGAACAUAGAGCACAAGGCUUUCUGCAAGCUCCGCCGCUCCAUGCACCCCACCUCGCCAGCUGACAUGUGAGUUCCAUGUACUGCCCCGCAUAUGACUUGAUCCAUUUAUCUACACAUCUGGAACUACGCAGAAACAGACUAAGAAAGUGUUCUAAGUGAGUACAUUGCACAUCGUUUAGCUUUGUUUUCUCCUUAUUGUUGAUUUCAGCGAUCCUAAGGUCCACAGCACCGUGGAAAGAGCUGUGAGGAGCAUUCUGGGCGAGCAGUCCAAUGAGCCCCGUAGCAACCUGCUCAGCCCAUCUCAGGUGGUGGUGGAGGUGGUGCCCAGGCUCCUCCUGGCCCUGUGGCUUCAGCCAGAGGAAGGCCAUUCAGAGCACCCAAGAGAGAGAGACUUAGAGAGCACUCUGACAGAGGAUGUUGCUGUGGUCAUCCCGGAUGUCACCCCACACGUCACCAAGGACGUGGCACUGGAAGUUCCAUGCAGAGCUAGGAAAGGGGCAGUCCGGCUAUUAUUUUGCAGGCUUUGGAGGGCAGUGUGCUGCUGCCCCUGCCACAAGGAAGAGGAGAAACAAUAUUAAUUAUUUAUCAGACCUUCAGAAAUGGGAUUGAACCAUAGACCAUUCAAUUAUUCGCAUUAUAAUUGGACUCAAUUCUGCUUUUCUUCUGUUUACUACUUAAUUUCAGAACAUUUCUAUAAACUUUCACUUUGCAAGUGUGGAGUAGGUUAUGUAAAUAAGUGAGAAACAUCACAAUUUUAAUGCUUUUAAUUAAAAAAAGGGGGCCCUCAACCAACGUUCAGUUGAGGUGCAACCAAAUAUUUGAAUCAUCAUAGAAAAGGAAAAGGAGCAACUCUUGCUCACUAUAAAAAAUGCAUUGUUUUAUUCAGGCAAGGUUAAAAGAUUAACGUUUUGGCCUAGUCUGUGAUGAUAUGCAAGUUGUGUUUGUAGCAGGAAAAGGGUGACCCCUUUAACGAAAUGGGACUUGUCAAUUCUUGAAUAAAAAUCUUUAAUGAACAUGAAUUUAUAUACAAUUGACUUGAGGAUCAGAGCAGGCAGGCUGACUGGCUAGCCCUGAAGGCCCUCUGCCUCUACCUGUGUGGUUCAUCUCAACCAAGAGGUUGUGU
ensembl:lncRNA